GAGGUUCCCAUGGGGCACAUGGGAAAAGAAGCCGGCAGCGUGGUGUCGGCGGUGGAUGGAGGUGCAGCUAAAGGUGACAGAAGGGGUACCAAGCGCAAUCCGUGGACCCCAGCAGAAGUGAAAGCUGUUGAACGUCACAUGAUUCGGUUCAUUCGCUCAUUCAAGGUGCCGGGCAAGAAUGACUGUGAUGCGUGCCUAAGGGCAGAACGACAAGCGCUGAAGGCUCGGAACUGGCUCUCGGUUAAGUUUUACAUUAAGAACCGAAUUACUGCUGAAAUGAGAAAGAACCUUUCCUGAAUAAAAUGUAUCUGCUGCUGAA